rnacentral:rRNA from 1 species
UAAACUACGAUUAGAUACCCUAUUAUUUUAAAUGUAAAAUUUAAUAAUAUUUGAGUAGUAGGAGUUAUGUUCUUUAAACUUAAAGAAUUUGGCGGUGUUUUAGUCUAUUCAGAGGAACCUGUCCCGUAAUCGAUAGACCCCGUAAAAUCUUACUUGGAUUUGUGUUCAGUUUGUAUACCGCCGUCGUCAGAAUAUCUUUUGAAAGGUUAAAUUUUCUAAAAUUUUUAUUAAAAAUGAUGUCAGGUCAAGGUGCAGCUAAUAUUUAAGUGGAGAUGGGUUACAAUAAAUUUAUUUAGAUGGAUUUUAUCUUGUAAUAGGUGUAAUGAAAGUGGAUUUGAUUGUAAUGUUAUUUAUAAAGUUAAUUUGAUUUUAGCUCUAAAACAUGCACACAUCGCCCGUCGCUCUUA